UGGGGAAUUUUGGACAAUGGGGGAAACCCUGAUCCAGCCAUCCCGCGUGUGCGAUGAAGGCCUUCGGGUUGUAAAGCACUUUUGGCAGGAAAGAAACGUCGCGGGUUAAUACCCCGCGAAACUGACGGUACCUGCAGAAUAAGCACCGGCUAACUACGUGCCAGCAGCCGCGGUAAUACGUAGGGUGCAAGCGUUAAUCGGAAUUACUGGGCGUAAAGCGUGCGCAGGCGGUUCGGAAAGAAAGAUGUGAAAUCCCAGAGCUUAACUUUGGAACUGCAUUUUUAACUACCGGGCUAGAGUGUGUCAGAGGGAGGUGGAAUUCCGCGUGUAGCAGUGAAAUGCGUAGAUAUGCGGAGGAACACCGAUGGCGAAGGCAGCCUCCUGGGAUAACACUGACGCUCAUGCACGAAAGCGUGGGGAGCAAACAGGAUUAGAUACCCUGGUAGUCCACGCCCUAAACGAUGUCAACUAGCUGUUGGGGCCUUCGGGCCUUGGUAGCGCAGCUAACGCGUGAAGUUGACCGCCUGGGGAGUACGGUCGCAAGAUUAAAAACUUAAAUG
rnacentral:rRNA from 1 species